rnacentral:rRNA from 1 species
GAAAAGAACUUUGAAAAGAGAGUUAAAUAGUACGUGAAAUUGUUGAAAGGGAAACGAUUGAAGUCAGUCGUACUGGCGAAAAAUCAACUACUCGAGUGAGUACUUGUGGGCGUACGUGAGCUUCACGGCCGCGUUGUUUGCAAUGUUCGUGCUCUUGUGGUGUACUUUUUCGUGUGGUAGGUCAAUGUCGGUUUUGAACGCCAUAAAAUGAUCGGAGGAAUGUGGCUCUGAUCUCGUAUCGGAGUGUUAUAGCCUUUGGUAGAUGUGACGAUUGGGAUCGAGGAUUGCAACGAAUACCCUUUGGGCUAUCCGUCUGACCUCUGAUGGUUAGCUGGGUGCCGAAAGCAUGCUUACGGUUAUCCAAGUUGACUGUCAAUAGAUUAGAACGUGAUUACAUUCG